AACCCACGCUAAACCUCACCCACCUUUGAAAAAACAGUCUAUAUACCUCCGUCGCCAGCCCGCCUGAAGACAGACACAAAGCGAGUAUAAUAAUUUACCAUUAAAACGACAGGUCAAGGUGUAACUGAUAGGUGGGCAGAGAUGGGCUACAUUUUCUAAAAUUGAAUAUACCCACCCCAAUAUGAAAUUUGAGGAAAAAGGUGGAUUUAGCAGUAAGCAGGGUAAGAAAAGCCCAACUGAAGCGCGCU
rnacentral:rRNA from 1 species